rnacentral:antisense_RNA from 1 species
AAUAACCAAAUAUAAUACUUGGGUUAAGGGUCAAGUUGGUAAUUUUUCUUACAUCUCCCCCUCCCGGAGCCCAGGUAUCAUAGACACCACCAAAAUAAAGAGCCUUGAAUACUAGAAGAAAAGCUCCUAUACCUAACAAGAUUAAGUGAAUACCUAAAAUUGUGGUCAUUUUAUUUCUAUCUUUCCA